rnacentral:RNase_P_RNA from 1 species
GGAGUCAGCCAGGCAAUCGCGGGUGUUGACCGGUGCAAAUUCUCUCGGGAAAUUGCCCGCAACAUCGGAGGAAAGUCCGGGCUCCACAGGGCAGGGUGCCAGGUAACGCCUGGGGGGCGUGAGCCUACGGAAAGUGCAGCAGAAAAUAUACCGCCGACUCGUCGGUAAGGGUGAAAAGGUGCGGUAAGAGCGCACCGCGCGACCGGUAACGGUUCGUGGCAGUGUAAACCCCACCCGGAGCAAGACCAAAUAGGAAUCUGUGGUUGCGGCCCGCAAUUGGAUUCGGGUAGGUCGCUAGAGGUGCGUGGUGACAUGCAUCCCAGAUGAAUGAUUGCCCAAGACAGAACCCGGCUUACAGGCUGACUCCGGUU